rnacentral:tRNA from 1 species
GCCGGGGUGGCGAAAUGGCAGACGCGUGAGACUCAAAAUCUCAAGUCGCUUAGGCGGCGUGGGGGUUCAAGUCCCCCCUCCGGCA